rnacentral:siRNA from 1 species
AAGGGAAUCUUGCAAAAUCUGCCA